UUGGGAAAAAUGUUGUUUUAUACGCGAACUUUCAAAAAGUAGCUAUUCUAUACGUGAACUCUGACGUCGGCCAAAAUAAACAUGAAAAAUACGUUGACCAGCCAUUUUAACAGAAACAAAAUGUUGACCUCGCCAAAAUCCCGAGACGUUAACUCGCUGAUUAACCCCGUUAAGAGAACGUUAAUGAAUUCUGUUAAGACCAAAACGCCGUCGUUUCAAACCUAACGAAACAAAUCAAAAUGCCCAAAUCGAAAACUCAAUCCCUAAUUCUCUCAAACCAAAUCCCUAAUUCUCUCAUUGGUAAAAUCGUGUUUGUUCUUCGAUUAAUCUUGUUGUGAUUGCCUUAGCAAUAGAAGGCGAAGUCGACAUUGCUCCUGUUCCACCACGACGAGUAGCUGAAACCGGAGAUGGAGUUUGAUGGUGGAGUUCUAGCUUUGCCGGCUGUUGUUGUAGCAGAGUCUUCUGUCGGAGUUGAAGCUCAAAGAAGAUAGAUUGAGAGAAGUUGGAUAUAAGAAAUCGAUUUGGGGAAGAUGAAGACUUAGGGUUUGAGUUUUCGAUUUGGGGAUUUUGUUUUGUUUCGUUUAGAACAAAACGACACCGUUUCGGCUUUAACAGAGUUUAUUAACGUGCUGUUAACGGGGUUAAUUGGGUCUGUUAAUGCGAGUUAACGUCUCGGGAUUUUGGCCAGGUCAACGUUUUGUUUCUGUUAAAAUGGCUGGUCAACGUAUUUUUCAUAUUUAUUUUGGCCGACGUCAGAGUUCACGUAUAAAAUGGCCACUUUUUGAAAGUUCGUAUAUAAAACAACAUUUUUCCCAAUUAUAUUUUUCCAUUUUAUUUUUUUCUUUCCCUUGAAGGCAGAUAUUAUCUUGUUUGUUAAUACUAUUAAUGUCAUUAAUUAGA
rnacentral:sRNA from 1 species